AGAGUUUGAUUAUGGCUCAGAUUGAACGCUGGCGGCAUGCCUUACACAUGCAAGUCGAACGGAAGCAAGUCUUCUGAUGCUGACAACUGCCGAACAGGUGAGUAUUACGUCUAAACGUGCCCCAUCUUGUGGGAUAACAAAUCUAAAGCUUUGCUCAUACCGCAUAAAAUCUACAGAUGAAAGCACGGGCCGCAUCGCCUUGCGCGAACGGAGCGGCCCAUGGCUCAUUAUGUAUUUGGUGUGAUAAAAUCUUACCACGCCGACAAUAUGUAUCUGGUCUCAGAGGACGACCAUCCUCACUGUGACUGAGACACCGCCCACACUCCUACAGGAGGACGCAGUGUGGAAUUUUAUACAAUGAGCGAAAACCUCAUCCUCCCAUGCCGCGUCCUGUAUGAAGACCUUCUUGUUAUUAACUGCUUUUGUACGUAACGAAAAAACUCUGGUUAAUACCUGCGGUCCAUGACGGUACCCUAACAAUAAUCACCGGCUAACUACUUGCCACCAGCCGCGGUAAUACUUAGGGUGCAAGCGUUAAUCAGAAUUACUGGGCGUAAAGCGUGCGCAGGCGGUUAUAUAAGGCAGAUGUGAAAUGCCCGGGCUCAACAUGGGAACUGCAUUUGUGACUGUAUAGCUAGAGUACGGCAGAGGGGGAUGGAAUUCCGCGUGUAGCAGUGAAAUGUGUAGAUAUGAGGAGGAACACCGAUGGCGAAGGCAAUUGCCCUGGCCUGUACUGACGCUCAUGCACGAAAGCGUGGGGAGCAAACAGGAUCAGAUACCGUGGUAGUCCACGCCGUAAACGAUGUCAAGUGGGGGUCGGGUCUUCAUUGACUCAGUAGCGAAGGUAACGCGUGAAGUUGACCGCGUGGGGAGUACGGCCGCAAGGAUGAAACUCAAAGGAAGUGACGGGGACCCGCACAAGCGGCGGAUGAUGUGGUUUAAUGCGAUGCAACGAGCAAAACCUUACCCACAUAUGACAUGUACGGAAUCCUUUAGAGAUAGAGGAGUGUCGACAGAAGCCGUAACACAGGUGGUGCAUGGCAGUCGUCAGCUCGUGUCGUGAGAUGAUGGGCUAAGUCCCGCACCGAGCGCAACCCUUGCCACCAGCUGGUACGAAAGGGCACUCUAAGGGGACUGCCGGUGACAAACCGGAGGAAGGUGGGGAUGACGUCAAGUCCUCAUGGCCCUUAUAGGUGGGGCUACACACGUCAUACAAUGGUUGGUACAGAGGGUUGCCAACCCGCGAGGGGGAGCUAAUCCCACAAAGCCAAUCGUAGUCCGGAUCGCAGUCUGCAACUCGACUGCGUGAAGUCGGAAUCGCUAGUAAUCGCGGAUCAGAACGUCGCGGUGAAUACGUUCCCGGGCCUUGCACACACC
rnacentral:rRNA from 1 species